rnacentral:lncRNA from 1 species
AUUCGCAUCCAUUGCCUUAAUGUAAACACAAACGUGAAUAUAAACGUAAGCAAAUACAAGAUCGUUCCAAAAUGUCUCAAAGUAUGAGACGCUCGUUAAUUUCCGUGAUAACGCAAGACAGUGUGUGCUUCUGAACUCGCCAGUUUUGUGAUGGCACGCAAAGUGUGUUAUUAACAGUGUCGAUCAUCAGAUCCGAUUGUUAAUUCAGGCUCUUCGAUAAAUACGACGAUAGAUAAUGUGGUACGAUUAUAUAUCACUCGGUUGGAUAUGCUUUAUCUAUUUGCUGGAAUUAAUUAUUAUGGUAUUGACGUACAUUUGGAUGCUACGAAAUGUUUUGCAUAUGGAGAUGAAUGGAACCAUGGAAGAAGAAGUGGGACUAGCAGCUAUGAUGGCAUAGAGAAAUGCCUAGAGUGAUCGGAUUGUCGCUCAAAUGAGUAUCACUGUUCGUGGAUUUGAUUACAAUGAUCCUUGAUAGUCAGGACAGACAAAGGUGUUAGCACCGAGAACGAAGAUCAAGAUCAGCAAUGAAGAUUCUCUUUUUACAAUUUGCACCUUGAGUUUGAAAACAAGGAGAAUUAUAUUGAUGAUUAUCAACGAUCAAUCACUGUCAGUGUUUCUCAGAAUGCAUCUAUAUAGAAUCUAGUAUUCUAAACGUAAACAUAACCAUGGACAGAUACAUGACUGUGUCGGUAACCAGUGGAUAUGCUUGUCAAUGUACUAGAAAUUUUGACGCGAGGCAGGUCAUAUCUGACCUUUAGAAUUUUUUCGACAAUAAAUCACAGGUUUAGUGCAUAUCAUUAAUGUCGUUAAUGCGAUCUUUUCAAUAACUUGAAGCAAUAAAUACGGUAAUUGUUGAGACAAAAUGUGGGACAUAAAUUAUACUUCUUUAUUGUGCUUGUGCCAAUUCUUCUUAGUGACAUGGUACGUCAUGGAUUACUUUGUAAACGUCAGAGAUAUUUUUCUACAGAGAUAUUUUGUGUAUCUAAGUAUGCUGUUAAUAUUAUAUUUGAUUUGGGAGUUAAUUAUAAAGCAGCCAGAAGUUCGGCAAGUGAUAUCAAACUAUCAUAAUCAUACAAAAUAACAUAAUUGGAGAUUUGAAGAUAUACUAGAACAAUUUUCAAAAUCGAGCUGUCUGAUUUUGUUGCAGAAGGAAAUUAGAAAUUAUAAUAAAAUUAGAUAAAUUCAAAUUACUAAACUUGUAGUCAAUUAAUCGAAAGGAAAAUGUGAUCCUUUAUCUUGAUAGCAGUAUUCAAUUCUGCUCUGGUCAUUUUAUGAUUCAAUCUGUUAGUUUUAUUUUCGAUAUUGGUAGUCAGAAUGUUUAUAUGGAGUGGCUUCAAAAGAUAGUUGAUGCGAGUUUCGCGUUUGUAACACUUCGCGUAAACGUAAACAUAAACGUUGACAGUUACAUCCUUCUGAAGCAUGGCAAAGGUUUUAUCAGAUAUUUGCCAUUUUCCACAAAAUAUUGACGUGUAGUAGGUUCUACGGGUCCUCUAAAAUUUAUAAUAAAUCGCGUUUAUAAAUCACAAUAUGUAUCGUUAGCGAUUUAAAUAUUUUUAAUACAAAACUGUAUUUUCGAUAAUUUGAAACGAUAAAUACAACUGAUAAUGUGGGCCGAAAUACGGAGUAUGAAUCAUCUCACGAUAAUCAAUUUUUUAUUAUUAAUAUAUACUAUGCGGUAUUGGUGGGACACGGAAUCUAUUCUCUCAUUAACAGUAUGGUUUUCUUGGCUGAUUUUGCUUGAUUGGCAUGAAAUUGAACACGCAGAAUUGCAAAGAAAUGACGAGCUGCAGUUGAAUAAACCAAAUAAUACAACUCGAAGUGUUCGAAGAAUGGAGGAUUUCUAAACAAUUGCAAGAUGAUACG